AUACUGGGAUAACUCCGGGAAACCGGGGCUAAUACCGGAUAACAUUUUGAACCGCAUGGUUCGAAAUUGAAAGGCGGCUUCCGCUGUCACUUAUGGAUGGACCCGCGUCGCAUUAACUAGUUGGUGAGGUAACGGCUCACCAAGGCAACUAUGCGUACCCAACCUGAGAGGGUGAUCGGCCACACUGGGACUGAGACACGGCCCAUACUCCUACGGGAGGCAGCAAUAGGGAAUCUUCCGCAAUGGACGAAAGUCUGACGGAGCAACGCCGCGUGAGUGAUGAAGGCUUUCGGGUCGUAAAACUCUGUUGAUAAGGAAGAACAAGUGCUAGUUGAAUAAGCUGGCACCUUGACGGUACCUAACCAGAAAGCCACGGCUAACUACGUGCCACCAGCCGCGGUAAUACGUAAGUGGCAAGCGUUAUCCGGAAUUAUUGGGCGUAAAGCGCGCGCAUGUGGUUUCUUAAGUCUGAUGUGAAAGCCCACGGCUCAACCGUGGAGGGUCAUUGGAAACUGGGAGACUUGAGUGCAGAAGAGGAAAGUGGAAUUCCAUGUGUAGCGGUGAAAUGCGUAGAGAUAUGGAGGAACACCAGUGGCGAAGGCUACUCUCUGGUCUGUAACUGACACUGAGGCGCGAAAGCGUGGGGAGCAAACAAGAUUAGAUACCCUGGUAGUCCACGCCAUAAACGAUGAGUGCUAAGUGUUAGAGGGUUUCCGCCCUUUAGUGCUGAAUUUAACGCAUUAAGCACUCCACCUGGGGAGUACGGCCGCAAGGCUGAAAUCAAAGGAAUUGACGGGGGCCCGCACAAGCGGUGGAGCAUGUGGUUUAAUUCGAAGCAACGCUAAGAACCUUACGAGGUCUUGACAUCCUCUGAAAACC
rnacentral:rRNA from 2 species